rnacentral:rRNA from 1 species
UCUGACGGAGCACGCCGCGUGAGUGAUGAAGGUUUUCGGAUCGUAAAGCUCUGUUGUUAGGGAAGAACAAGUACCGUUCGAAUAGGGCGGUACCUUGACGGUACCUAACCAGAAAGCCACGGCUAACUACGUGCCAGCAGCCGCGGUAAUACGUAGGUGGCAAGCGUUGUCCGGAAUUAUUGGGCGUAAAGGGCUCGCAGGCGGUUUCUUAAGUCUGAUGUGAAAGCCCCCGGCUCAACCGGGGAGGGUCAUUGGAAACUGGGGAACUUGAGUGCAGAAGAGGAGAGUGGAAUUCCACGUGUAGCGGUGAAAUGCGUAGAGAUGUGGAGGAACACCAGUGGCGAAGGCGACUCUCUGGUCUGUAACUGACGCUGAGGAGCGAAAGCGUGGGGAGCGAACAGGAUUAGAUACCCUGGUAGUCCACGCCGUAAACGAUGAGUGCUAAGUGUUAGGGGGUUUCCGCCCCUUAGUGCUGCAGCUAACGCAUUAAGCACUCCGCCUGGGGAGUACGGUCGCAAGACUGAAACUCAAAGGAAUUGACGGGGGCCCGCACAAGCGGUGGAGCAUGUGGUUUAAUUCGAAGCAACGCGAAGAACCUUACCAGGUCUUGACAUCCUCUGACAAUCCUAGAGAUAGGACGUCCCCUUCGGGGGCAGAGUGACAGGUGGUGCAUGGUUGUCGUCAGCUCGUGUCGUGAGAUGUUGGGUUAAGUCCCGCAACGAGCGCAACCCUUGAUCUUAGUUGCCAGCAUUCAGUUGGGCACUCUAAGGUGACUGCCGGUGACAAACCGGAGGAAGGUGGGGAUGACGUCAAAUCAUCAUGCCCCUUAUGACCUGGGCUACACACGUGCUACAAUGGACAGAACAAAGGGCAGCGAAACCGCGAGGUUAAGCCAAUCCCACAAAUCUGUUCUCAGUUCGGAUCGCAGUCUGCAACUC